UACGGAGGAUGCGAGCGUUAUCCGGAUUUAUUGGGUUUAAAGGGUGCGUAGGCGGAUUGAUAAGUUAGAGGUGAAAUGUCCGAGCCCAACUCGGGAACUGCCUCUAAUACUGUUGAUCUAGAGAGUAGAUGCGGUAGGCGGAAUGUAUGGUGUAGCGGUGAAAUGCUUAGAGAUCAUACAGAACACCGAUUGCGAAGGCAGCUUACCAAUCUAUAUCUGACGUUGAGGCACGAAAGCGUGGGGAGCAAACAGG
rnacentral:rRNA from 1 species